GAGGGAAUAUCAGUAGAAAGAAAUUACCUGCUUAUUUCAAUACACUGCUACCACCUGAUCAGGUGAAGCUGUUUUUAUCUCUCCUUCAUAAGAAGAUUUUAACGAAAGGUAAAGAGGUGACAGAGGGUGUAUUGAACGACAUGCAUCAGAAGAAAGUGUUGAACAUUUGAUGGAUUUUGUAUUCAAACAUGUAAAAUGACCAUACUUUUUAGACAUUUAUAGUUUUCUAAUUAAAAGUUAGUAAUU